ACGAACGCUGGCGGCGUGCUUAACACAUGCAAGUCGAACGGAAAGGCCUGCUUUCCCUUGUGGAUUGCGGGUACUCGAGUGGCGAACGGGUGAGUAACACGUGAGUUAUCUGCCCCCAACUUGGGUAUAAGCCUGGGAAACUGGGUCUAAUUCCCGAUAGGACUGCAGGGUGGUGCCUGUGGUGGAAAACGAUUUUCUAGUGGUUGGGGAUGAGCUCGCGGCCUAUCAGCUUGUUGGUGGGGUAAUGGCCUACCAAGGCGGCGACGGGUAGCCGGCCUGAGAGGGUGGACGGCCACAUUGGGACUGAGAUAAGGCCCAGACUCCUAAGGGAGGCAGCAGUGGGGAAUAAUGCACAAUGGGCGGAAGCCUGAUGCAGCGACGCCGCGUGGGGGAUGACGGCCUUCGGGUUGUAAACUCCUUUCGACCGCGAGGAAGCCACCUGGUUGGAAGGGUGGUGACGGUAGUGGUAGAAGAAGCACCGGCUAACUACGUG
rnacentral:rRNA from 1 species